GACGAACCGUGCGAACGUUGUUCGGAAUCACUGGCUUAAGGGCGCGUAGGCGGUCUGCCAAGUCCGGGGUGAAAGCCUCCAGCUUAACUGGAGAAGUGCCUUGGAUACUGGUGGACUCGAGGGAGGCAGGGGUAGUGGGAACUUCCGGUGGAGCGGUGAAAUGCGUUGAUAUCGGAAGGAACGCCGGUGGCGAAAGCGCACUACUGGUCCUCUUCUGACGCUGAGGCGCGAAGCCAGGGAGCAAACGGG
rnacentral:rRNA from 1 species